CCAGGAAAUUAAGACUGUCUUGCUAUAUCAUCUGCCAGCUGUGGGGAAAUUGAGAACAACAGUCAUUCAGAUCUCCAGAUCAUUAUCAUCCAUACAAGAACACAGAACCUCUGCAACCAUGAUCAACACGGCCCUGGGUAUUUCUUUUCCAUAUCAUAUCCAUAUAUCGAAUAAAAAACAACCAAUUAUCUGACUAGAAGGAUGGAAAUGUUAAGGGAAGGACAAACAGAGACUCAGAGAAGACAAUCCUCCACAAACCAGGAACAGAAUCCUCCCUUGACACACAACCUGCCAGAACCUUGAAUUUGGGCUUCUCAGAAUCCAGAAUUUUUCACCAAGUCUACAUUAUAUUGUCCAGUAGCUUGAGCUGACUGAGACAGGGUCCAAUAGGGGUGGCAUCAUAAAAUCCCUGUUUGUCUAUCUCUACCUGUAAAUGGCUUGAAAACUGGA